CUCUAAGGAGGCUGUGAUGCAUGCGAAGGAAAGCAACUGACUUAACUCAUUGGGAUUCAGGGAACGACCUGCCCUCUUUUGGAAAGAAAAAAAAAUAGAAGAAGGAGAAGGAGAAGAGUAAGUGUGCGUGUGUGUGUGUGUGUGCGUGUGCGUGCGUGUGCGUGCAUGUUCGUGUGAGAGAGAGGGAGAGGGGAGGGGGAGAUACACACAGUGCUGCUUUCCUGAGCUGCCGCUUCCCAAGCAGAAACUAUCGGGAGAAACGCAGCGUCUUGGCUCUUUCCUGCAUUUACACAAUGAAAUCACUGCUGUUUUUAUUCCUGCUAACGGGCCGCUUUUGUUUGCAUCCACUCCGAGACAUGGACGAUGGGAACAAAUAAGUGCUUAAGAUCAAAUAGACAAAAAAAAAAAAAAAAAAAGAGAGAGAAAAAAAAGCCCAACCACGCUGGGAUGCUGGGAUGAGGAUUACUCACUUUAGCUCUGACUGGACCCGGGCGGCGCGGGGCUGGGAUUGUGCCGGAUUUCAAGGACACGGGAGAUGAUCGGGACUUUGGGAGCCAACAUCUGCCUGGCUGGUGACGUCAGCAGCCCCGUGUAAUCCUCUUGUACUGAAGGCAGAUGCCUUAUUUGUUUGGCUGGAGAGGCAUUAAUCCCUAAUUCUGGAGCAGCAAGCGAGGGGGAGAGACCGGACCGCUUCUUACCCCCCGACAGCCGCUCGCGGGGUUCUCCUCCUCUUUGCGCUCUGUGGCUCCGGUUGGGCGGAGGACGAGCCAGCCCUCGGCGCCCGCACGCAGGAGCCGCGCUGCCGAGGGCGGGCCUGAGCCUUCUGCCCGCCUCGCCCCCGGAUGCCCCGGCAAGCGGCGGAACAGCCCCCGGGAAGCCCACCUCGCC
rnacentral:lncRNA from 1 species